AGUUAAAAAGCUCGUAGUUGGAUUUCUGUGGUGGGUAGUCGGCCGGCUCUUCGGAGUUGUAGCUAGAUUUACUUGUCGCAUCUUGUCGUAAUUCUCGCUGGUCUUAAUUGAUUGGUGCAGAGGACCGACUCGUUUACUUUGAGAAAAUUAGAGUGUUCAAAGCGGGCUAUCGCCUUGAAUAUGUUAGCAUGGAAUAAUGAUAUAGGACUUUGGUUCUAUUUUGUUGGUUGUUCGAGGACCGAAGUAAUGAUUGAUAGGGACAGUUGGGGGUAUCAGUAUUCUGAAGCGAGAGGUGAAAUUCUUGGACCUUCGGAAGACUAACAACUGCGAAAGCAUUUACCUAGGAUGUUCUCUUUAAUCAAGAACGAAAGUUGGGGGAUCGAAGACGAUCAGAUACCGUCGUAGUCUCAACUAUAAACUAUGCCAGCUAGGGAUGAGUGGAUGUUUAAUUACGACUCCAUUCGCACCUUAUGAGAAAUCAAAGCAUUUGGGUUCCGGGGGGAGUAUGGUCGCAAGGCUGAAACUUAAAGGAAUUGACGGGAGGGCACCACCAGGAGUGGAGCCUGUGGCUUAAUUUGACUCAACACGGGAAAACUUAUCAGGGCCAGACAUAGCUAGGAUUGACAGAUUGAUAGCUCUUUCUUGAUUCUAUGGGUGGUGGUGCAUGGCCGUUCUUAAUUGGUGGAGUGAUUUGCCUGGUUAAUUCCGUUAACGAACGAGACCCCAGCCUGCUAAAUAGUUUGCCUUAUCUUUGACAGGCGUCAACUCCUUAGAGGGACUAUUCUGUGUAUAACGAAUGGAAGUUUGGGGCAAUAACAGGUCUGUGAUGCCCUUAGAUGUUCUGGGCUGCACACGGGCUACACUGCGAGGUUCAACAAGCUUCAUAACCUGGUUCGAUAGGAUCGGGCAAUCUUCUGAACUCCUC
rnacentral:rRNA from 1 species